GAACUGAAACAUCUAAGUACCCAGAGGAAAGGACAUCAAACGAGACUCCGCUAGUAGUGGCGAGCGAACGCGGACCAGGCCAGUGGCUUAAUUGAGUAAAGUGGAACAAUCUGGAAAGGUUGGCUAGAGUGGGUGAUAGCCCCGUACACGCAACACGAGAUUAAGUCCUUGAGUAGGGCGGGACACGUGAAAUCCUGUCUGAACAUGGGUAGACCACUAUCCAAGCCUAAGUACUCGUGCAUGACCGAUAGCGAACCAGUACCGUGAGGGAAAGGUGAAAAGCACCCCGACGAGGGGAGUGAAAUAGUACCUGAAACCGAAUGCCUACAAACAGUUGGAGCCCAAGAUUAGUUCUGGGUGACAGCGUACCUUUUGUAUAAUGGGUCAGCGACUUAGUGUAACGAGCAAGCUUAAGCCGGUAGGUGUAGGCGUAGCGAAAGCGAGUCUGAACAGGGCGUUCAGUUCGUUGCAUUAGACCCGAAACCAAGUGAUCUAGCCAUGAGCAGGUUGAAGGUACGGUAACACGUACUGGAGGACCGAACCCAUAUCUGUUGCAAUAGAUCGGGAUGACUUGUGGCUAGGGGUGAAAGGCCAAUCAAACUUGGAGAUAGCUGGUUCUCCGCGAAAUCUAUUUAGGUAGAGCGUCCAGCGAAUACCCCCGGGGGUAGAGCACUGAAUGGGCUAUGGGGACUCACCGUCUUACUGAUCCUAAUCAAACUCCGAAUACCGGGGAGUACUACUGGGCAGACACACGGCGGGUGCUAACGUCCGUCGUGAAGAGGGCAACAACCCUGACCACCAUCUAAGGUCCCUAAGUUAUGGCUAAGUGGGAAAGGAUGUGAGGAUCCCAAAACAACCAGGAUGUUGGCUUAGAAGCAGCCAUCAUUUAAAGAAAGCGUAACAGCUCACUGGUCUAAAUAAGGGUCUUUGCGCCGAAAAUGUACCGGGGCUAAAGCCAUACACCGAAGCUGUGGAUGCACGUAUGUGCGUGGUAGCGGAGCGUUCCGUAAGCCUGUGAAGGGACAGUCGUGAGACAUCCUGGAGGUAUCGGAAGUGAGAAUGCUGACAUGAGUAACGAUAAAGGGAGUGAGAGACUCCCUCGCCGAAAGUCCAAGGGUUCCUGCUUAAAGUUAAUCUGAGCAGGGUUAGCCGGCCCCUAAGGCGAGGCCGAAAGGCGUAGUCGAUGGGAACCACGUUAAUAUUCGUGGGCCUGCAGGUAGUGACGGAUUGCGUGUGUUGUACAUUCUUAUUGGAUUGAAUGUGCAGCGAAGCGGUUCCAGGAAAUAGCUCCUGCAUAUAGACCGUACCCUAAACCGACACUGGUGGACUGGUAGAGAAUACCAAGGCGCUUGAGAGAACUGCGUUGAAGGAACUCGGCAAAAUGCACGCGUAACUUCGGAAGAAGCGUGACCCUUGUUUAGGCAACUAGAUGAGGGUGGCACAGACCAGGGGGUAGCGACUGUUUACCAAAAACACAGGGCUCUGCGAAGUCGCAAGACGACGUAUAGGGUCUGACGCCUGCCCGGUGCUGGAAGGUUAAGAGGAGAUGUGCAAGCAUUGAAUUGAAGCCCC
rnacentral:rRNA from 1 species